ensembl:lncRNA
GUAAAAGAGUCGGCUCAUUUGGCUCCGUUCAGGUAAAAGAGUCGGCUCAUUUGGCUCCGUUCAGGUAAAAGAGUCGGCUCAUUUGGCUCCGUUCAGGUAAAAGAGUCGGCUCAUUUGGCUCCGUUCAGGUAAAAGAGUCGGCUCAUUUGGCUCCCCGUUCAAAAUGUUUAAAUAUAUCUAGAAACAAGGAAAACGUGCAAAUCUCCUAUGUAAAUCACAAAAGUAGGCUACCAUUAUGUCAGAUCGUGAAAUGCGUGUUCAAAUGCAUUUUUACCUGGAUAAAUUAUUCAGUUCUUUUAAACGCACUGCACAUUUUAGGAUGGACCAGAAUGACGCGCUCUCCCCACUAUUGAUUGUUUCUGCAGUGAGAAUUCACCCUCUUUAGAUAAUUAUUUAGUAAUUUAUUUACAGGUAAGUUGUUUUGAAAAAAAUAACUGUUUGUAGCUGUAUGUAAAUCACCAAAAAGAGCCGUUCGUUUUGCUCAAAGAUUUAUUGGUGGAAUGUUUAAUUACUCCAGCAUAAUUUCCGAUAAUCAUACGUAAUCUCUAUGCAACGGCACUGUUUCACUAGGACACCAGUAUGUUUUGUAAAGAUACACCCACCCCCAAACAUCUUCCUGCACUAUUACCUACAUCAUGUCACGUUUGACCUUUCUAGCUUCCAGUGGGCUAGCUACAGUUCAGUUUCAAGAGUUCCUCCGUCAUGUACUAAACUUCUACAGUACUCGCUGUAUAUUUGACCUCUCUCUCACGGUUCAAAUGUCUCAUUCUCUCUGGUCGUGCUGUUGUUAAAGUGUACGAACGCAGUACGGCGGCUGGACCUCCUAAACAAGAACUUUUCAUAUGUCUGAGACCAGCCCCUCACGCCUCAUGGAGGGGCAUCCACUGUUUCCACAGAGGGGAGCCAUGUUCUUGAGGAUUGUGGUUGACUGAGUGAUAGCUGUAGAUGGAGAAACUACCACGUCAUGUUCAUUAGAAGAGGUACUGACUGUUGAAUGACAGCCCUUCAUCAGCCCAAUACACACACCUUAUCUUUUGAGCUAGUCCCUCAGUGGUAAUGAUGUCUGGGUGGAUUCUACAGUUAGCUGAAGUGUCCUGCUCCCUGACAGAGGGAAAGGUGCAGAAGGCUGUGCAGUACGCUGCUGGGGACACCAGCAUCAAUGAAGAGAUGCAGGUCUUCCAGACCCCAGAACCUGUAAAAGUGCUUUGUCUCUAGCAUGGUAAACAAAUGUAAUGCAAAUCCUUAUUAAA